GAGAAGGCCUAUGAUAAGAUACCGCGGAAUGUCAUGUGGUGGGCCUUGGAGAAACACAAAGUUCCAGCAAAGUACAUUACCCUCAUCAAGGACAUGUACGAUAAUGUUGUGACAAGUGUUCGAACAAGUGAUGUCGACACCGAUGACUUCCCGAUUAAGAUAGGACUGCAUCAGGGGUCAGCUUUGAGCCCUUAUCUUUUUGCAUUGGUGAUGGAUGAGGUCAUAAGGGAUAUACAAGGAGAUAUCCCAUGGUGUAUGCUCUUUGCGGAUGAUGUGGUGCUAGUUGACGAUAGUCGGACGGGGGUAAAUGGGAAGUUAGAGUUAUGGAGAGAAACCUUGGAAUUGAAAGGGUUUAGGCUUAGUAGAACUAAAACCGAGUACAUGAUGUGCGGUUUCAGUACUACUAGGUGUGAGGAGGAGGAGGUUAGCCUUGAUGGUCAG
rnacentral:rRNA from 1 species